UGCCUUAGUAACGGCGAGUGAAGCGGCAAUAGCUCAAAUUUGAAAGCUGGCGUCUUCGACGUCCGCGUUGUAAUUUGUAGAGGAUGCUUCGGCGAGGACUCCUGCCUAAGUCCCCUGGAACGGGGCGUCACAGAGGGUGAGAAUCCCGUAUGUGGCGGGCGGUCCAAGCCAUGUGAAGCUCCUUCGACGAGUCGAGUUGUUUGGGAAUGCAGCUCUAAAUGGGAGGUAAAUUUCUUCUAAAGCUAAAUAUUGGCCAGAGACCGAUAGCGCACAAGUAGAGUGAUCGAAAGAUGAAAAGCACUUUGGAAAGAGAGUUAAAAAGUACGUGAAAUUGUUGAAAGGGAAGCGCUUGCAACCAGACUCGCUCGCAGUUGCUCAGCCGGCCUCUUGGCCGGUGUACUCUUCUGCGAUCGGGCCAGCAUCAGUUCGGGCGGCCGGAUAAAGGUGUCGGGAAUGUAGCACCCUUCGGGGUGUGUUAUAGCCCGGCGCGGAAUGCGGCCAGCCUGGACUGAGGAUCUCGCUUCGGCAAGGAUGCUGGCGUAAUGGUUGUAAGCGGCCCGUCUUGAAACACGGACCAAGGAGUCUAACAUCUAUGCGAGUGUUUGGGUGUCAAACCCAUGCGCGUAAUGAAAGUGAACGGAGGUGGGAACCCCUCACGGGGUGCACCAUCGACCGAUCCUGAUGUCUUCGGAUGGAUUUGAGUAAGAGCAUAGCUGUUGGGACCCGAAAGAUGGUGAACUAUGCCUGAAUAGGGUGAAGCCAGAGGAAACUCUGGUGGAGGCUCGCAGCGGUUCUGACGUGCAAAUCGAUCGUCAAAUUUGGGUAUAGGGCGAA
rnacentral:rRNA from 1 species